rnacentral:rRNA from 1 species
UACGGAAGGCAGCAGUGGGGAAUAUUGCACAAUGGGCGCAAGCCUGAUGCAGCCAUGCCGCGUGUAUGAAGAAGGCCUUCGGGUUGUAAAGUACUUUCAGUCGUGAGGAAGGUGUUAAGGUUAAUAACCUUAGCAAUUGACGUUAGCGACAGAAGAAGCACCGGCUAACUCCGUGCCAGCAGCCGCGGUAAUACGGAGGGUGCGAGCGUUAAUCGGAAUUACUGGGCGUAAAGGGCACGCAGGCGGUUAAUUAAGUUGGAUGUGAAAUCCCCGGGCUUAACCUGGGAAUGACAUUCAAGACUGGUUAGCUAGAGUCUUGUAGAGGGGGUAGAAUUCCAUGUGUAGCGGUGAAAUGCGUAGAGAUGUGGAGGAAUACCGGUGGCGAAGGCGGCCCCUGGACAAAGACUGACGCUCAUGUGCGAAAGCGUGGGGAGCAAACAGGGAUUAGAUACC